CAGUAGCCCUGAUAGAAGUGGAAAUCCUUUAUGUUAGCGAUAGCGAAAUAAAGAUUGAAACUUCCCGAAGCAUCG
rnacentral:sRNA from 1 species